rnacentral:lncRNA from 1 species
UUAUCUAGAAAAUAACGAAAUGUAAAAUUGCAGUGAGGCCAUUUCAGCAAAAUGCCCGUUAAUAAUUGAUCAAAAUUGGAUAAGUCUGCCCCCACAUGAGACCGCUUGUUUAAAAUGUAGGAGAAACCUCUAUUCUUCUCACAUGAUGUUCCUGAAUGUGGACUAAAAUUUAUGUUAUAAAUUAAGUAUGUGUUAAAAUUUAUGUAUCAUAUCUCUUUUUGUGUCAAUUUUCUUCCUGAGAAAAUGUCCUGAUCGAGUGACAAUAUUAUUAAAAGUGCAUAAUUAGUGCAAUCAGAAAACAUGCUUGGUAGAACAAGUAAGCUCCCGAGAAGAUAUAGGUAAAAUUGGUUCGAAACUGUUACUGUAUCAUUCAUUUUUCUACCAGUUUAAAGUUUAUGUAUAUUCAAUCCCUCUCCAACUAUCAUAAUAUACUGUCUCUCUGUCAUCCCUCCAUAAUUUAUUUCUUACAAUUUAUAUUUUCUCAUUUUUGCAGACUGUUUGCAGCACAGUAUGCUUGCUGACAACUUUACAAUAUUUUACUGAAAGCACAAAGAUUGUUUACAGCUUCCCAGCUUCGGGUCCAAGCGGUAGCGGCGCAAAAUCCUCCUCCUCGAGCAGCCAAUUCGUGGGCGCCGUGAAGAAGCGCGAAGAUCUCCCCGGCUUCGAUUCCGAGGAGAACUUCGCGCCCGUGAAGACCUACCCUGGAGCCUCCUCAGGUGACGGCGGAGGCGGCGGCGGCGGCGGCGGCCCUGCUUACAGCGUCUCCUCCUUCUCCACCGGCGGCGACGUCGCUGGCUUCAGCACUCACAUCAAACACGACAUUCCGCGGCGUGGAGAGUCCCCCUCAGCCUCGGCCCCUUAUCACCGUUCGUCCAAUUCGGAACCGGAGUUCUACUUCCCGUCGCCGGCAGAGCGCCCUGAACCCUCGCGGCUCUUCAAGAGCCUCUUCGCGCAGGAGGAGGAUGAGCCCUCGGCGUCGCCGUUGGUGAGCGAGGCGUCGACCGAUGAGAGGCGGCUGGAGGAGAUCAAGAAGCAUAUGGAGGAGGCGGAACGGAGCUUCGAUGACGACGGGCCCUCGGCUGGAGGUGCGGAGGGCGGUAGCUUCAAUGAUGAGGGGUUCCGCAGUCUGAAUGAGGAGGAGGAAGAGGAUGGUGUCGGGUGUAAGAACUGUAACUAUGCGCAGUUUUCAGAUGGAGCACUAGGCCCUGGUGUCAAUCAGCUGUAA